CCUUCCUGCCCCAUGUGGGCCUGAAGCGCGUGUCUGCUGUCUGUGCCAGUGCUCCUGCCGGGUCCCCUCAGGUGUGUCGUUUCCGUCGCGCUUCCGCCCUCUCGGCCAUGGGGGUCCCCAAGAGGAAGGCCUCGGGCGGCCAGGACGGCGCGGCUUCCUCCGCGGGUGCAGCCAAGCGCGCCCGCAAAGAAGAGCUCACGGGCGUGCGGUUCAAGGCUCAGCUGAAGGACCCGCAGGGCCCCGGGCCAGGCUUGGAAGCGUUUGUGUCUGCCGCCAAGAAGCUACCACGAGAAGAUGUGUAUGAUGUCGUGGAAGGGUAUAUAAAGAUUUCUGUUGAGUGUGUCGAAAUUUUCCAGCUCCUAAGUGGAGAGAAACGACCUGAAAGUGAAACGAUGUUAAUAUUUCAAGUUUUCGAGGCCAUAUUAUUGCGGACAGCAAGUGAUCUUUCACAUUUCCAUGUUGUGGGAACCAACAUUGUGAAAAAGCUGAUGAACAACCACAUGAAGCUCAUCUGUGAGUCCCUGUAUGCCUCAGGUUACAGGUUGGCUCGCGCCUGCCUGAGCCUGAUGACCGCCAUGGUGACCCAGGGUCCGGAAGCUGCCAGGGACGUCUGCAGCCAUUUUGAUUUGAAUAAAAAGACCUUGUACACCCUGGUGACCAAGAGGGAUUCAAAGGGAGUGUACGACGUUCGGCAGGCCUACGUUCAGUUUGCUCUCUCCUUUUUAAUUGCGGGUGAUGACAGCACUAUAGUGCAGGUGUUGGAAGUGAAAGAAUUUAUUCCUUGCAUUUUUAGCUCAGGGAUAAAGGAAGAUAGGAUCUCUACCAUCAAUAUUUUAUUAUCCACACUGAAAACAAAGGUAGUUCACAAUAAAAAUAUCACAAAAACCCAGAAGGUGCGUUUCUUUACGGGGCAGUUAUUGAACCACAUAGCAUCGCUGUACAACUGGAAUGGGAUUACCGAUGUGAACCCAGAAAAUGUCAAGGUUUCUGCUGAAGAAGCAGGGAAAACCAUGGUGCGGGAGCUUGUUCAUAACUUUCUGAUGGAUCUUUGCUGUUCACUCAAGCAUGGAAUUAAUUUUUACGAUGCAUCUUUGGGUACCUUUGGCAGAGGCGGAAACCUGACACUCUUGCACUUCUUGCUGGGUUUGAAAACUGCAGCUGAUGAUGAUCUGGUGGCUGACCUUGUGGUAAACAUCCUCAAAGUGUGCCCGGACUUACUGAACAAAUACUUCAAGGAAGUAACGUUUUCCUUUAUCCCACGAGCGAAGUCUACUUGGUUAAAUAAUAUCAAACUACUAAACAAGAUCUAUGAGGCUCAGCCGGAGAUUUCCCGGGCAUUUCAGACCAGAGAGUUUAUACCCUUGCCUCGGCUCCUGGCAAUGGUGAUGGUGACCACCGUGCCCCUGGUGUGCAAUAAGAGCAUGUUCACCCAAGCAUUAAACUUGGACAGCACCUCAGUGAGGCACACAGCCUUAUCCCUUAUUUCUGUCAUUUUGAAGAGGGCAUUAAAAACUGUUGACCACUGCCUGAAUAAAGAGGUGUGGCAGGAAUCAGGCGUGUACACAGCUGUGAUGAUGGAAGAAUUCGUGCAGCUGUUCAGAGAAGCCCUGAGCAAGAUUUUGCCAGACCUGAACACUGUCGUGUGGGUCUGGCAGUCACUUAAAAAGCAAGAGACCAAACAGGAUGACAAGAAAGGGAAGAAAAGGAGCGAUGGGCCCCCGGCUGCCUGCGAUGCUCGCCAGUGCGAUGAUGCAGAAACCAUUCUUUUGAAAGCUGUUUUGCUCCAGGUCAUAUGCCUCUACCAGAAGGUGGUCCCCCACGUGGUCAUGCAGUACAACUUUGACUUCAGCAAGCUCCUGAAAGGUGUCAUCUCUGAGCAGGGCCUUCGAGAGGAGGUGCCUCCCAUUCUGCAGCACCACAUGCUGAAGGUGGCCCUGGAGCUGCCGGCCAGCAAGUUUCUGUGGUUAAAGGCACAGGAAGGCCCAGAUGCAGAAAUUAUUGGAGGUGAACGAUCAGUAUUUUACUUACUAAUGAAAAUGUUUGUGACCAGUAGCCAUUUACAACUGAAGUCAUUGACCAAACUUCUGAUCAUGAAGAUUCUGCGGGACACGGGGGUGUUUGAGCACACCUGGAAGGAGCUGGAGCUCUGGCUGGAGCAUUUAGAGAACACCGUGGAAGAGGACAAAGAGACUGUGAUUCAGUUUCUGGAACGCAUUUUAUUGACAUUGGUGGCGAAUCCCUAUUCAUACACAGACAAAGCAUCUGACUUUGUCCAAGAAGCAAGCACGCUGCAGGCCACUAUGACGAAGCAAGAAGCUGAUGACAUGAGCAUUCCCAUCUCCCACAUUGACGAGGUUCUCGACAUGGUGGAUGUCCUGGUGGAGGGCAGUGAAGGCUUGGAUGAGGAAAUAGGGUUCACGUUGAGUGAAGACAUGAUCCUGCUCACGUUCCCAUUCAGUGCGGUGGUCCCUGCGGCCCUGGAAGCCAGGAAUAAGUUGCUCCUUGGGACAGGCAAUGAAGCAGUGGAAAACGUUGUGACAUAUCUGACGGCAGUGCUGACUGACCUCCUCCACACCCAGAGGGACCCCCUGGCUCUGUGUCUCCUGCUCCAGGCAUAUGAUAAGCUUGAGCCUCCAUGCCCGGUGCCUUGCUGCCAGCAGCUCUCACGGUUUAACAGAUACUACAGCCUCUGGAUCCCGGAGCAAGCCCGAGAGGCCUGGCUGCUGCAGGCACAGGGCAGCCCCUCGCCCCCUGCCCUUCCCUUGGCCUCCUCCUUCACAGCCCUGCUGCAGGCAGCCUACGAGAGCCAGGCGCUUCGGGACGAGCACAUCCAGGUGCAGCUGCAGGCCACCAUGCCACACCUGUCCAUGCAGCAGGUCCUGCUCGCGGCCAAGCAGGUGUUGCUCUACCUGCGGAGCACCGUGGAGAACUUCGGCCAGCUGGGCAGAAGUGUGGGCCCGCCUCUCCUGCAGCUCUUCCUGGAUCUCCUCAGGCGCCUGGUUGUCCACUGUGAGCAGCUGGAUGCCCAGAACCAGCAGAGAUGCGAGGCCGCCCGGGCCGAAGCCGACCUCUUCCUGGACAUGGAGUCCGUGGCCUCGCUGGAGUUGGCCAAUGAUCAGACGCUGGAGGAGGUGCUUGUGGCCAUCCUCAGGCACCCCACCCUGGAGGGCUGGUUCCUGGCCCUGGAGCAGCAGGCCCUCCCGCCGCACACGCUCAGCCCUGUCCUCGUGAAGCUCCUGGCCACCCACUUUAGUGCAGGGGUCCUUCAGCUGCUGGCAGCAAGUGCCCCGAUCCUCCGGAACAUUGGGCAGCUGGGCCUUCUGGCCAGGUACUCAGAGGCCAUCACCCAGAGUGUGCUGAAGGAACUUCAGAACAGGAGGGCGGGCCCGGCCACAUCACCACCAAAGACCCCGCCGCAGCUGGAGGCCCUGCAGGAGCUGCAUCCAUACAUGGAGGGUGCCCAGCUCCGUGAGGUCACCCUGGCCUUGCUGAGCCUGCCUGAGACACACCUGGUGACCCAGCAACCCACGAAAUCCCCCGGGAAAGAAAGACACCUGAAUGCUCUUGGAAAGACCCUGGUGCAGCUGCUGACCUGCAGCCCCCAGGAUCAGCUGCAGAGUGGUGAGCUCCUGUGGUCCUCCGAGUAUGUGAGAGGCCUGGGGGCUCUGCUGCCCACGCUAGCAGUGGACGAGCUGGACACAGUGCUCCUCCACACUCUGCAGAGAGACCCUGUGCUGGCCCCUGCAGUUGGGGCUGAUCUGCUUGACUACUGCCUGGCCCGGCGCACACAGGCGGCCCUCAGCAUCGCUGCCCUGCUCCUCCAGGAGAGCUGCACCCACCUGCUGUGGUUCGAGCAGUGGUGCCUGCAGGCUGGCCCAGGGCUCGGCCUCCAGGGGGACCUGGACGACUUCCUCCCCCUCAUCCAUGUGUACCUCCAGUGCAGGACACAGAGCCACUUCACACGCCCAGCAGGAGUGUCUUCCGCUGUCAUUCCUGUCUUGAGGAAGACCCUGUGGAGGCAGCUACAGAGCAGGCUUCUUAGCACUGACAGUCCCCCAGCAUCUGGGCUGUACCAGGAGAUCCUGGCACAGCUGGUCCCGUUUGCACGAGCCAAGGAUCUCAGUGUACUCAUGGACCGCCUGCCCAGCUUGCUUCACACCCCAAGCAGUCACAAGAGGUGGAUCGUGGCCGACUCCAUUUCAGCAGCUCUGGAAGGGUCAGCAGAAGAGCUGUGUGCCUGGAGAAGGACCCUUUUGGAGUCCUGUGUGAAGUGGCUGAUCGUGUCUUUCAGUGGUGGACAGCAAGAUGAUGAUAAUACUCAGAAUCAGGAGAAGGAAAUGCUGCUUAGAUUAAAUGCGUUGUUGCAUGCACUUAAUGAAGUUGAUCCUGGUGACUGGCAGAAAUUCGUGAAGACGGGACUCAAAUUUCGGUACCAGGACCACACAUUUUUAAAGACCCUCCUCACCGCCGUACAGCUCCUGUACAGCCCAGAAAGCUCCGUGCGCACAAAGCUCAUCCAGCUCCCGGUGGUCUACGUGAUGCUCAUGCAGCACUCGCUGUUUCUGCCGACUCUACUGACAUCUGACGGAGAGGAGAGCCCGGACAGCCAAGUAAAAGAAGCGCUGGUGGACCUGAUGCUGACGGUGGUGGAGAUGUGCCCCUCUGUCUGUGAGAGCAGCCACUUUGCAGUGCUUCUUGGGGCCUAUGGCGCCACUCUCAGCGUCCUAGAUCAGAAGAUUUUACUUCUGCUUCGAGUGUAUGAGCAGAACAAGCUCAGCCUCAUCAACUUCAGGGUGCUGCUGUGGGGCCCAGCAGCCGUGGAGCAUCACAAGACAUGCCGGAGCCUGGGCAGGUCACUGUGGCAGCAGCCGAGUGUCGGGGACAUCCUUCGCCUGCUGGACCGGGACCAGAUGAUGCAGACCAUCCUGCACUUCCCCCAGAACCGGAGGCUGCUGCCCCCCGAGGACACACAGGAGCUGAUAUUCAAAGACAAAAGCAGGGUGGAUCUUGAUGGCCUCUAUGACCCCUGCUUUCUCCUUCAGCUCUUCAGUGAGCUGACCAGGCCAGAGUUUGUGGUGGAUUGUCGAAAAUUUUUGGAUUCAAAUGCACUGGGCCUAACUGUCACAGCCCUCAGCAGCUAUGACCCCCAGAUGAGAGCCAUAGCCUACCAUGUCCUGGCAGCCUACUACUCGCACUUGGAGGGCGCACGGUUCCAAGAGCAGUCCCAGCUACUUUACCUGUUGGAUGUAGUCCGGAAUGGGAUUCGAACUCAGGACAUGAGACUCACUUUUACCUUGGCUCUCUUCAUUGCCAAAGCAGCCCUGCAGAUUUUGAAACCAGAGGAGCACAUGUACCUGAAGGUCAGCAACUUCCUGCUGUCGCAUGAGUACUUGAACAUGGACAAAGUGCCAGGCUUCUACCAGUUCUUCUACAGCUCCGACUUUGAGCAAAAAACAGAGCAGAAGUGGGUGUUUGGCCUUCUGCGGCAGGGGAUCCGUGACAAGCAGUGCUACGAACUGUGUGCCCGGCGUGGCAUCUUCCACAUCAUCCUGUCCUUCUUCCACAGCCCGCUGUGUGACGAGGCGGCACAGAAUUGGAUUCUGGAAAUUCUACAGAAUGCUGCCCAGGUUGCCAGAUCUGCCUAUGAAAUCAUACGAGACUAUAGCCUUUUAACAUGGAUUUUACACAUCCUUGAAAGCAAGUUUCUGGAGACUCCACUGCUGUCUAAUGUGAUCUCCUUGCUACACACACUGUGGGUGACCAACCUGGGGGACAAGGCAGUGGAGUGGGACAGCCAGCGCCCUUGCCAGCCUAGCUCCCAGGAGCCUGCCAAGCGGCUUGCCCUGCACCUGGUCAAUGAGUUCCUUUAUGUUCUUAUCGUGCUCAUGAAGCACCUGAGGCCCACCUUGGCCCCCGUCCAGCUGACCAACUUCUUCGGGACACUUGACUCCGUGCUGAGGUACCGGGCCACUGUCAUACAGGCCUUCAGGGACAUGAACAGAUUCACCGUAAAUGAGACAGUGCUUUCCACCAAGGACGUCCUUGUCCUCUUGCACAAGUGGAGCCUCAUUGAAAGAGACCUCAAGCUCCAGGAAGACCUGAGAGCAGCCAUUGAGAAGGCCCAAGCCCGGGAGCUCAUGAAAAUGCUCAAGGAUAAGAACAAGCCUGUCAUGCCAGCCCGAGCCAAAGGCCCACGGGGCCGAAAGAGGAGGCCUGGGGAGGCAGAGGAGAUGGCUGAUGCUGAGCUGAUGGCAUCUACCUUGGAGACAUGCAAGGGCCUCCUGAGGUCCAUCUUGACUUACUGGGGACCAGUGAUCCCUGGUCCUGACCCCACUCAGGAGCCUGUGGACUCAGCCAGCCCCGAGAGCGAUGCGCCAGGCCCCGUGUAUGCUGCUGCUUCCCUGGCAGUCAGUUGGGUGCUGCGGUCAGUGGCCGAGCACCCGCUCAGCAGGGCAGAGGCUGCAGGACUCAUUGGCUGGCUUAAGAGCCAUAUUUUGCCACACCCUGUGGUCGUGGCUGACCUCCUUAAGGAUGGUGCCGUGAGGAGCAGCAUAUUCAAGCUGUAUAGCCGGCUCUGUGGGGCUGAGGGGCUGGCAGGGCCUGCGCAGGAGGUGGCCUGCCUGUUCAAUACGGUCAUGCUGCAGCUGGUGGCCGCCCAGGGCCGGGCAGGGAGCCCCUUCCACCCGGCCAUGGAAGCCCUCUCCUUGUCUUCUCUGAGUGAGAAGGAUGAAGCCACACGAGCCUCUGCAGCAUUCCUGGUGUCUCUCUACAUAAAGGACAUCUGGCUGGGGGCCCAGCGGCCGGACACCCUCUUAACCCACGUCCGGAUGGUGUGUGAGGCCGCAGAUGAUGCCCCGAGCAGUGAAGAGGAGGCCAUCGUGGUGCUCUGCAAGGACACCGCCAGCGCAGCCUCAGAUGCUUGACUCCUGCCGGCCAGCACCUUGCGCCCUGAUGACCAGAGCCUCAAGCACAGCACCAGCUUCUAGAAGUUUGACCUUCUUCGGUGACAACCGCCUUCCCUGUGGCCCUAGAUGAGCACAAGGGCAGUCUGUGUGUGGGAUCCCUUCCCAUUCACGCUCCACCCUGCUCUUGACCAUGGUGAACUUGUAUGGAUUACAUCAAUAUGCUACAUGCCCUGUGGAUUCUGGCUGGAUAUGGUCAGUGGCGAGUUCCAGCAGGAAACUGGAGGGACAGAAGAGAGCGAGGUCAGAGAAUUUAAUCUCCUGCCUCCCUCCCUACGAGGUCACCCCAGCUGGUGACUGUGACCCUGGAUGGAAGGUGAUGGUCUCAAGGUGGUCUGCUCUUCACAACUCUCCUUCUUUCUGGUAACCUCGCCCAGCAUCCCUCUAGGUCGAGGGAGGGGUGGUGUUGGCCUCAUUGCUUUUAACCUGGAUUCCUGUACCAUCCCUCAUGGUUCUCUCCUACAAACCUUUGCAAAGAAUCCCUCCCCACACUAGCAGAAUUUUAGUGCAUGCUCUCUGUGUUCUUCUAAGGCCCUCUUAGGGAAUAGACAAUUCUGUAGGCACUUUCAUUGCAAACAGAAUCCCAGUGAAGAAAUGGUAGCGUCAGUCCAAGAUACUAAUCAACAUGGCAAUCUUCACUACAGGAUGAGAACUGUUUUCCCUUUGCCCCAGGUAGGACAUAGGCCACCUCAGCCUUCCCGGCCUCAGGUAGGGAAGGGGCUGUGGCUGGCCCUGCUCUUUCCCACCUCACCUGUUCCCUGCGGUUUUCAUUUCUGCCUAGCCUGAGAUGGGGAAAGUGGGGGAUAGGACAGUUUUCACUUUGAUAUGGUUUGGCUCUGUGUUCCCACCCAAAUCUCAUCUUGAAUUGCAAUCUCCAUGUGUUGAGGGAGGGGCAUGGUGGGAGUAACUGGAUCAUGGGGGCAGUUCCCCCAGGCUGUUCUCAUGAUAGCGAGUUCUCACGAGAUCUGGUGGUUUUAAAGUGUGGCACCUCCCCUUGGCUUGCUCUCUCUCUCUCCUGCUGCCACGUAAGACGUGCUUUGCUUCCCCUUUGUCUUCCGCCAUGAUUGCAAGUUUCCUGAGGCCUCCCCAGCCAUGCAGAACUGUGAGUCAGUUAAACCUCUUUCCUUUAUAAGUUACCCAGUCUCAAGUAGUUCUUUAUAGCAGCAUGAGAACGGACUAAUACACACUUGAACUUGUUCUAACUUUGUUUUGCACUCUUAGGUAAGAUCUAGUUAGACCUGACCCUUUCUCCUAGCCCCCUCGGGGACUCCCUGCACCUCCCAAAUCCCAGGUGCAUGCCCAUGACCCACUGGGCAAGGCCUCAUCUCAGGCUGGCUCUCCCUCUGCCCUGGUUCUCCAGGAGUGCUGUUCACACUUGACUCACCACUGGGGAGUCUUCAUGCUUCCAGGUUAGCUCCUUAGGCAGAAAUUAAGACUCUAGGUGACAUCCUGCCAGCAAAGUUCAGAUCUGGCUGACAACCUACCUUGUUUGCCUUUGUUGUGCUACCAAAACACACGCAGCUUAACGCUCCUGCAGGUCACCCCGUCCCCAAGUGCCUGGGAACCAACAGGUACGUAAGUGUCUCCUCAAAGUCUCUUAUCAGCCAAAUUGAGGCAAGGAGGCAGAUACCCUCAUCUUCUCUAUUGGGGAGGGGCCCAUCUCCAAAGAGAUCCUUCCAGUGAAGUCAUCUUGGUCACCAUUUUCUCCCUUCCUUUAUAUUCCCAAAGUGUGUGAGAGAGGUGUUUAAGAGAAGGAGGAAAUCAGCUAGGCAUGGUGGCCCAUGCCUGUAAUCCCAGCACUUUGGGAGGUCGAGGUGGGUGGAUUACCUGAGGUCAGGAGUUCAAGACCAGCCUGGUCAACAUGGUAAAGCCCCGUCUCUACUAAAAAUACAAAGAUUAGCUGGGUGUGGUGGCGGGUGCCUGUAAUCCCAGCUACUCGGGAGGCUGAGGUGGGAGAAUCCCUUGAACCUGGGAGGUGGAGGUUGCAGUGAGCCAAGAUCAUGUCACUGCACUCCAGCCUGAGUGACAGAGUGAGACUCC